GACGAACGCUGGCGGCGUGCUUAACACAUGCAAGUCGAACGAUGAAGAAGAGAAACGCGUCCUUCGGUUCAAAUUUCACUUCGGAUUAGUGGCAGACGGGUGAGUAACGCGUGAGCAACCUACCUCUUACAAAGGGAUAGCCUCGGGAAACCGUGAUUAAUACCAUAUGACACAUUCAUAAGGCAUCUUAAGAAUGUUAAAGCUACGGCGGUAAGAGAUGGGCUCGCGUCCCAUUAGCUAGUUGGUGAGGUAACGGCCCACCAAGGCGACGAUGGGUAACCGGGCAGAGAGGGUGAACGGUCACAUUGGAACUGAGACACGGUCCAAACUCCUACGGGAGGCAGCAGUGGGGAAUAUUGCACAAUGGAGGGAGCUAUGAUGCAGCGACGCCGCGUGAGCGAUGAAGGAAUGCGUUUCGUAAAGCUCUGUUCUAUGGGAAGAAAAGGACUGUACCAUAGGAGAAAGCCCCGGCUAAAUACGUG
rnacentral:rRNA from 1 species